rnacentral:rRNA from 1 species
CCUACGGGUGGCAGCAGUAGGGAAUAUUGCUCAAUGGGGGAAACCCUGAAGCAGCAACGCCGCGUGGAGGAUGAAGGUUUUCGGAUUGUAAACUCCUUUUGUUAGAGAAGAUAAUGUCGGGAUCUAACGAAUAAGCACCGGCUAACUCCGUGCCAGCAGCCGCGGUAAUACGGAGGGUGCAAGCGUUACUCGGAAUCACUGGGCGUAAAGAGCGCGUAGGCGGGAUAGCAAGUCAGAUGUGAAAUCCUAUGGCUUAACCAUAGAACUGCAUUUGAAACUGUUAUUCUAGAGUAUGGGAGAGGUAGGUGGAAUUCUUGGUGUAGGGGUAAAAUGCGUAGAGAUCAAGAGGAAUACUCAUGGCGAAGGCGACCUGCUAGAACAUAACUGACGCUGAUGCGCGAAAGCGUGGGGAGCAAACAGGAUUAGAUACCCCAGUAGUC